GGGGCUGUAGCUCAGUUGGUAGAGUGCUUGCCUAGCACACAUGAGGCCCUGGGUUCAAUUCCCAGCACCCCCA